CCAGUGCCUCGAGCGUGGGGCGGGACAAGGACCCGGGAGCAGGCUCUGCGAAAUUGCAGUCCCCUCCCAGCAGGGCAGCUGCGUCCGGGAGGGUGGUCUGUGGAGACACCCCUGCGAAGGUCCCUGAGGGACUGUGGCCACCAGGGAGACCUGGCCUGGUGCACUGAGCGGUCAGGCGGCUCUCUUGGGCACUGCGAGGCGCACACCACGUCUCAGCCCUUUUCUGCUGCCCACACGGGUGUCCACCAGCCCGGGUCUCCCCAAGUUAGCACCCACAGGCCAGGCCCGCACCCAACCGGUCUCCCACCCCUGCAGAGGGAGCAUCUCGUGCAUGGGCGGGCAGGGUGGCCAGGGGGACUGGAGACCUCGCUCGGGGACUGCCUGGCCGGCCCUGCACAGGAGAACCCUCGCAGGACGUCCAACAACUGCCCACAGCAUUGAAGGAAGCAGGUGUGCGGGAGUUGGGCGGUUGGAAGGCACAGCCAGGCUGACCUGGAGCUGACCCUUGGUAACGUCCAGUCCCUCUGUCCCUCUGCUUGUUACCCCUCAGCUGGCCCAGUCCCUGAGAAAGUGGGUUAGGGCUCCACCCUCCCUUAGUCCCCAGUGGGUCUGGACUCGAGGCCAGGGCCGAGUGGUGGUAAAUGCUGGUUGUCACUUGGACAGGAGCCCCCACCUGCAAAGAACUGUGUGCUGAGAUUCCACCAUGUUGGGCUUGCCUGCUCAACUGCUCCCAGGCACCAUCCAGAGUGUGGACAAGGGCUCUCCUUCCUACCACUGCCUUCGGGUCACAAGCGCACAGGCCAGCCUGAGAGCAAGGGCUUCCUAUACCCACCACACCUCUCCCCAUCUCCCCAUCUCCCCAUCCCUCUAUCACCACGACAGCUCUUGCCCAACCUGCAAACCCAGCUGGCCCCUCCCUAAGGACGUGAGCACCAGAUAUUGAUCACUGCCCCUAAGCAAUUGCUUCUGGUGUCCCCCAUGACACCCAGGACCCUGUGCUCCACGGAGCCACGCUGGGCUUGGUACCUCAAGAAAUGCUCCCAGCAGCCCCCAGAGGGUGGCUAUACCCCCAUUCUAUAGGCCAGCACAUCUUCUGGAUACUGCUCGCCCUCACUGCCCACCCUCAUCCUUCUUGUCUCCAGACCAGAGCAGAAGUCCUGACUGGGGGCUCCAUGAGCCAUGGGCCAUCCUCCCACCCAGCUGCCCACCGGUGGUGCCUUGCCUGGGGUGAGCAGCCACCCACAGAUGAAACCAGACAGAGAGCCACAGGGGCCUCCCUUCUGAAUGGCUGAGUUCCUCGACGGAGCACCCGCUUUUCGCUUUCCCAGUGAGGGGCACUGGAGUUUGCCAGCAGAGGCUUGGGUUUAACUGUGGAUGAUAUUUGUUCAGGAGUUCCAUGAGCCACGUGAAGAACUUAAGACCAGAAAUGAAAUUCUUUUCUUCAACUUAGACACACAAUGAAUACUCUGAAAUAAAGUGGACUUUGGCGGCUUA